rnacentral:tRNA from 1 species
GCCCGGGUGGUGGAAUUUGGUAGACACAAGGGACUUAAAAUCCCUCAGCUUUAGAGCUAUACGAGUUCAAAUCUCGUCCCGGGUA